CACGUAGGGUGCGAGCGUUGUCCGGAAUUAUUGGGCGUAAAGCGCGCGUAGGCGGUCCUUUAAGUCUGGGGUGAAAGGUUCAGCGCUCAACGCGAACAGUGCCUUGGAUACUGGGGGACUUGAGUCUGGGAGAGGGCAGUGGAAUUCCUGGUGUAGCGGUGAAAUGCGUAGAUAUCAGGAGGAACACCGGUGGCGAAGGCGGCUGCCUGGCCUAAGACUGACGCUGAGGUGCGAAAGCGUGGGGAGCGAACGGG
rnacentral:rRNA from 1 species